CCGACACGAAGGUUCCGGCAAGGGCAGGAGCCGUUCCCGUGACCGAUACCUGCCGAUCCACUCGGGAGCUGGCGUGUGCCGGAGGGGAAAGAGCCUAAGUUUAACAUCCAAGAGAUGCCUCUGCACCACAGCUGAGAGGAAGAAGGGAUAUACAAAGGGAAACAAAAGCCCUCUGAAUGGAUUACCUUACACAAAGUUUUAGGCAGAGUUUACGGUUCCAUGGGACCCAAGGACCUCCUGUGCUAAAAUCCUUGAAGCACAGAGACAGCAAGAUAAUGCUCUACUGAACCAUCUCGGGAUGCACUGUCCCUGUCACUGCAGAAAGUCUCAGAUCUAUGCUUUAUCCAAACUGCUGACCCUGUACAUACCACUUCUGGGGUACAGAGGAGCUGGGGACACGGCUGGAAUGGCACAAGGCCUGGGUGGCCACAGGCAUUAUGUACACAAACUCCAGAAUGUUAAAAUUAAAACAAUGUAGGCUCAUGUCUUCUUUGUACCUCUGACAGCUCUGGUCAGAUACUAAGAGAUAAUGCCUUAAAUUAUAUCCUUCAUCAAGGCAUUUUGAAUCCAUAAUUGUCUAGGAGUUAUUUUAUAAUUAAUCUGAAAAUACUGUGGAAAUAAAACCCAGUAUCUUGUGUUCUCAGAAAACUAUUAAAUCCAGUUUUUAUUCACACUUAAAACAACAACAAAAAAGAUUUACAUGCUCUGUAAAUCUACAAAGAUGCAAAGAAUCAUAGCUGAAUAUAGCAAUGGUUUAACAUUUUAUUGAACUGGUGUGCUUUAUGUGCUGUUUUUAGUGAAUCAGUGAAAAAAAAAA